CCUACAGGUUCAUAAUUAACAGAGGAAAUAAGGCUACCUACAGGUUCAUAAUUAACAGAGGGAUAUAAGGCUACCUACAGGUUCAUAAUUAACAGAGGGAUAUAAGGCUACCUACAGGUUCAUAAUUAACAG